ensembl:snRNA U6 U6 spliceosomal RNA
GUGCUCACUUGGGCAGCACAUAUUCUAGAAUUCCACCACAAAGAGAUUAGCAUGGUCCCUGCACAAGGAUGACAUGAUUUUAAAAGUUCUACCAAGUAUGC